AAAGGGUAAGGAAUAACGUCGAAGAAAUCGGGCGCUUAAUACCUCAUAAUGCAGCGGAUCCGCAUGGAUAUGUUGUUAAAGGUUUACCGCCUUGGGAUAGGCUUGCGUCUGAUUAGCUAGUUGGUGUGGUAAUGGCACACCAAGGCUACGAUCAGUAACUGGUCUGAGAGGAUGAUCAGUCACACUGGAACUGAGACACGGUCCAGACUCCUACGGGAGGCAGCAGUGAGGAAUAUUGGGCAAUGCACGAAAGUGUGACCCAGCAACGCCGCGUGGAGGAUGAAGGUAUUCUAUAUCGUAAACUCCUGUGAGAGCAGACGAAAGACAGAUUAUUAAUUUGGAUGACUGUAUGCUCAGAGGAAGCCCCGGCUAACUACGUG
rnacentral:rRNA from 1 species